AUUGAACGCUGGCGGCAGGCCUAACACAUGCAAGUCGAGCGGAUGAAGGGAGCUUGCUCCUGGAUUCAGCGGCGGACGGGUGAGUAAUGCCUAGGAAUCUGCCUGGUAGUGGGGGAUAACGUCCGGAAACGGGCGCUAAUACCGCAUACGUCCUGAGGGAGAAAGUGGGGGAUCUUCGGACCUCACGCUAUCAGAUGAGCCUAGGUCGGAUUAGCUAGUUGGUGGGGUAAAGGCCUACCAAGGCGACGAUCCGUAACUGGUCUGAGAGGAUGAUCAGUCACACUGGAACUGAGACACGGUCCAGACUCCUACGGGAGGCAGCGGUGGGGAAUAUUGGACAAGGGGCGAAAGCCUGAUCCAGCCAUGCCGCGUGUGUGAAGAAGGUCUUCGGAUUGUAAAGCACUUUAAGUUGGAAGGAAGGGCAGUAAGUUAAUACCUUGCUGUUUUGACGUAACCAACAGAAUAGGCACCGGCUAACUUCGU
rnacentral:rRNA from 1 species